CAGCAGCCGCGGGAAUACGUAGGGGGCAAGCGUUGUCCGGAAUUAUUGGGCGUAAAGCGCGCGCAGGCGGUUUUUUAAGUCUGGUGUCUAAGUGCGGGGCUCAACCCCGUGACGCACUGGAAACUGGGAGACUUGAGUGCAGAAGAGGAGAGCGGAAUUCCACGUGUAGCGGUGAAAUGCGUAGAGAUGUGGAGGAACACCAGUGGCGAAGGCGGCUCUCUGGACUGUAACUGACGCUGAGGCGCGAAAGCGUGGGGAGCAAACAGGAUUAGAGACCCGUGUAGUCCCUGUCUCUUAUACA
rnacentral:rRNA from 1 species